GGGAAUGACUGAACACAGUAGUUCUGCAAUACAGCACAUUUAUAUAAUGUUUGUUUUAAAUAAUAAAAUAAGCUAGCUAAUCAAAACACCAAAUCCUAAGCCUUAUUCAGUUGCCAAAACCAAAAUUCUAAAUCUUAUUCAGUUAAAAUAGUAGAGAUAACUAACGAAUGAAAAUUUAGGGAAACAAAAACUUACAUAUUGAAGCAUCCCUGGCACUUC
rnacentral:misc_RNA from 1 species